UUCCAGACUCCUACGGGAGGCAGCAGUGGGGAAUAUUGCACAAUGGGGGAAACCCUGAUGCAGCGACGCCGCGUGAGUGAAGAAGUAUUUCGGUAUGUAAAGCUCUAUCAGCAGGGAAGAAAAUGACGGUACCUGACUAAGAAGCCCCGGCUAACUACGUGCCAGCAGCCGCGGUAAUACGUAGGGGGCAAGCGUUAUCCGGAUUUACUGGGUGUAAAGGGAGCGUAGACGGCAGUGCAAGUCCGGAGUGAAAGCCCGGGGCUCAACCCUGGGACUGCUCUGGAAACUGUAAAGCUGGAGUGCGGGAGGGGCAGGCGGAAUUCCUGGUGUAGCGGUGAAAUGCGUAGAUAUCAGGAGGAACACCGGCGGCGAAGGCGGCCUGCUGGACCGUAACUGACGUUGAGGCUCGAAAGCGUGGGGAGCAAACAGGAUUAGAUACCCCAGUA
rnacentral:rRNA from 1 species